GAAAUACUCCCUCCGUCCUAAAAAGCUUGUCUCUCAAAUAGAUGUAUCUAGCACCAAGUUAGUGCUAGAUACAUCCAUUUGAGGGACAAGCUUUUUCGGACGGAGGGAGUAUAUG
rnacentral:pre_miRNA from 1 species